GGGGAAUAUUGCACAAUGGGGGAAACCCUGAUGCAGCGACGCCGCGUGGAGGAAGAAGGUCUUCGGAUUGUAAACUCCUGUUGUUGAGGAAGAUAAUGACGGUACUCAACAAGGAAGUGACGGCUAACUACGUGCCAGCAGCCGCGGUAAAACGUAGGUCACAAGCGUUGUCCGGAAUUACUGGGUGUAAAGGGAGCGCAGGCGGGAAGACAAGUUGGAAGUGAAAUCUAUGGGCUCAACCCAUAAAUUGCUUUCAAAACUGCUGGCCUUGAGUAGUGCAGAGGUAGGUGGAAUUCCCGGUGUAGCGGUGGAAUGCGUAGAUAUCGGGAGGAACACCAGUGGCGAAGGCGACCUACUGGGCACCAACUGACGCUGAGGCUCGAAAGCAUGGGUAGCAAACAGGAUUAGAUACCCUGGUAGUCCAUGCCGUAAACGAUGAUUACUAGGUGUUGGAGGAUUGACCCCUUCAGUGCCGCAGUUAACACAAUAAGUAAUCCACCUGGGGGGUACGACCGCAAGGUUGAAACUCAAAGGAAUUGACGGGGGCCCGCACAAGCAGUGGAGUAUGUGGUUUAAUUCGAAGCAACGCGAAGAACCUUACCAGGUCUUGACAUCCGAUGCAUAGUGCAGAGAUGCAUGAAGUCCUUCGGGACAUCGAGACAGGUGGUGCAUGGUUGUCGUCAGCUCGUGUCGUGAGAUGUUGGGUUAAGUCCCGCAACGAGCGCAACCCUUAUUGCCAGUUACUACGCAAGAGGACUCUGGCGAGACUGCCGGUGACAAGCCGGAGGAAGGCGGGGAUGACGUCAAAUCAUCAUGCCCCUUAUGACCUGGGCUACACACGUGCUACAAUGGACAGAGCAGAGGGAAGCGAAGCCGCGAGGUGGAGCGAAACCCAUAAAACUGUUCUCAGUUCGGACUGCAGUCUGCAACUCGACUGCACGAAGAUGGAAUCGCUAGUAAUCGCGAAUCAGCAUGUCGCGGUGAAUACGUUCUCG
rnacentral:rRNA from 1 species